GACGAACGCUGGCGGCGUGCUUAACACAUGCAAGUCGAACGGAAAGGCCCUGCUUUUGUGGGGUGCUCGAGUGGCGAACGGGUGAGUAACACGUGAGUAACCUGCCCUUGACUUUGGGAUAACUUCAGGAAACUGGGGCUAAUACCGGAUAGGAGCUCCUGCUGCAUGGUGGGGGUUGGAAAGUUUCGGCGGUUGGGGAUGGACUCGCGGCUUAUCAGCUUGUUGGUGGGGUAGUGGCUUACCAAGGCUUUGACGGGUAGCCGGCCUGAGAGGGUGACCGGCCACAUUGGGACUGAGAUACGGCCCAGACUCCUACGGGAGGCAGCAGUGGGGAAUAUUGCACAAUGGGCGGAAGCCUGAUGCAGCAACGCCGCGUGCGGGAUGACGGCCUUCGGGGUGUAAACCGCUUUCGCCUGUGACGAAGCGUGAGUGACGGUAAUGGGUAAAGAAGCACGGGCUAACUACGUG
rnacentral:rRNA from 1 species